GAUCGACGGUGGCUUAAACAGCAAUUCGAACGGUAGACGGGAGUUCGGUCCCGGAGUCCAGCGGCGGACGGGUGAGUAAUGCUAGGAACUGCUGGUAGCGGGGGACAACGACGCGAAAGGGACGCUAAUACCGCUACGCCUACGGGGGAAAGCAGGGGACCGCAAGACCUUGCGUAUUAGAGCAGCCGAGGUCGGAUUAGCUAGUUGGUGAGGUAACGGCUCACCAAGGCGACGAUCCGUAACUGGUUUGAGAGGACGACCAGUCACACUGGAACUGAGACACGGCCCAGACUCCUACGGGAGGCAGCAGUGGGGAAUUUUGGACAAUGGGCGAAACCCUGAUCCAGCCAUGCCGCGUGUGCGAAGAAGGCCUUCGGGUUGUAAAGCACUUUAGGUUGGGAAGAAAGGCCGUGAAUUAAUACUUUGCUGAUUUGACGUUACCGGCAGAAUAAGCACCGGCUAACUAUGUGCCAGCAGCCGCGGUAAUACAGAGGGUGCAAGCGUUAAUCGGAAUUACUGGGCGUAAAGCGCGCGUAGGUGGUUUGUAAAGUUGGAUGUGAAAGCCCCGGCUUAACUCUGGAACUGGCUUUUUAACUACACAGCUAGAGUUUGGGAAAAGGAGGGGGAAAUCCGCGGGGAGCAGGGAAAUGCCUAAAUUUUGCGGAAGGACACCCAUUGGCGAAAGGCGCCUCCUGGGACAACACUUGGCGCUCAAGCAGCAAAGGCGGGGGAGGCAAACGGGUUAAAAACCCCGGGAGGCCCCCCCCUAAAAACAAGUUAACUAAGCGUUGGGGCGCUUUGACCUUUUUAUCGCACCUCACACGCGAAAUUUUCAGCCUCUGGGAGUGCGCUCCCACGAGUAUAAACACUCAGGUAUUUGUCACGGACCCCGCCACAAGCGCCGGGGGAUCGUGUGUUUAUUUAUUAUGCGCCGACGCAAAACACUCAUCCUCCCCUUCGUCACGUCUGGGUAUAGCUGUAACAGAGUUGGGAAGUGGUUGCUCUACGAGAACCAGUGAACAACAGGUAGCUGGCAUGGACUGUCGUCAGCUCGUGUCGUCGAGAUGGAUAGGGGUUUAAGUUACCCCAGCAACCGAGGCGGCCAACCCUUCGUCACUUUAAGUUGACUACGCGACGGUGACUGCGUUCGUGACUCAUGUACUAGGCCGAUCAUACCAGGCCUGGCACGACACGCGUCUAGGCAGAAAUGAUCCAGUGAUGAU
rnacentral:rRNA from 1 species